rnacentral:misc_RNA from 1 species
GGAUGAGAAACAAUUCUCAAAUUUCUAUUAAUUCUCAAUAAUAAAUUCUACCAAGAUACCUAGAGGACAUAAAUGUUUAUGGGAGAAUUGUUAAUCCUACUAUUAGUACGAUUUGGAAUCCCAAAAUAAGAAAAUUACUAAACAAACUCUAAUAUUUUCUCAUAUUUCUCAAAGAAGGAUUACAACAUAUUUAUACAAUUAUAAUCCUAACUAAGAAGCAAAGUAAUCCCUAAAACAAGAAGCACAAAGUAGUCCAGAGACUUACACGGCCUAACCCAUGUAGUGCCACACGGGCC